CGAUCACUGAGACGCGCGAACUCGGACUCUUUGCUCCAGCCGAUUGUCGGGCAGAUUCAUCACAGAAAAUAUUCGAACUUGAUCGAAAUUCGAUUAGGAACAGUCUCGUACACCUCUCUAAAAGUAAAUCGUGGUGAAUUGGUACCGAGGCAACGCGAUUCGGAAGGAGGAGAGAAGAUACGAGGAACUCUGACGAAAGGGCUGGAUGGUCCGGAGUGUACGAAAAUCCUGUCGCUAAAGAGGAUAUCGAGAGUUAUCAGCUGCGAGGCGUCUCGUCUGUUACUCGACGGUACGCUAGUUUGAAGACGGAAAAUAUCGACGAAUCGGAGUUAAUUUUCGUACGCGCACCGAAACGAAAUCGUCUCGAUCGGAAACACUCGACUACCCUGACAAACGAGCACGUGGGGGCGAGGGAACCCAAACACACGCCCACGCAAAAUUCUCGCUAGACAAGACCACGGCUACGGAAAGGCACGCAUAGUUUUCCCUUUCGUUCGAGAUCGAGACGUGACGACCCUUCCCUCGGUCACUGGAGAACGAUACCGUUCGAAUAAAAAUUAGGAACCUUGUCUCUCCGUUAAUUAAACGCCCCUCGAUACGUGCACGACAAUUUCCUUUGUUUCGUACAACGCAAACUCUCGAUAGCCUGUCCUAUCGAGAAUCUAAAGGUCAUUUUCACCGGUGAACACGUCCUUUAUAACUUUUCCAAAGCGAGAUCCGUGUCAAAGGUAGGUUGUUAAAUGUUUCCCGUCGGUCGAUCGACCAAUUAAUUUGAAAUAUUUGUAAAACGAAUCCAGUGGACCCGCAAGCGUCGCACGACUGUGGCAAGUACACCGUCAUCGUCCUAGUUUUCAUACAGUGCAUUCGAUUGAGCGAACUGGUCACCGUUUUCAUAGUGCGACGCGAACUGCGCGAAAUUUGGAAGAGAUGAGUCGCUAAUACACGAUCCGCAAUAUUCCCAAAAUUUUCGAUACGGUGGCGCAACUUAUCGAUUCUUGCGAUAAAAUUCCAUCAGCUAAUUUAAUGUUUUGAAAUUCGUAAGAAUUCUUGUCUUUGGUACCAGUGAAUUUUUGCGAACAUAGUUAUUGUUAAAAGUAGAGUCCAUUUAAAAAGUAGAAUGCGCGUCUCCUGUUCUGGGAAUUUCCAGUGGUACUCUACAUAAAGGGGCUCGUCGACUCUGACGAUAGCGAACAAAAAUGUUGUUCCUAUCGCCAAUGGUCCCCCGAGGAACCAGCUCGUGACUAUUUACGUGGCUCCCUGAAUACGAUAGUAGCGUCAGAGCGAGUUUGGACCAUCGGAUCGAAGAUAAAGCAAGGAGUGCGUUACUUGAAGCGUUUAUCGCAAAGCAAUUUUCACGGUGGUCGUUUAGCAUCGUUUAUUCGAUCAAAGUAUGGUGGGCUAGUUGUCCUCGUCAUCCUGCACCUUCUAACAACACCCUUUAUCCCUUGACAGUCCUAUGCCACGACCCUCCUGUACCCCUCUUUUCCUUGGAAUGCACGUCACCUCGGGGGAGGUGAUGACGUCAGUAGAAUGCGGCCACAGGAUUGGCUCGUACCUCACUGACGUCAUAGGGGCUGACUCUAUACAUGCGCCUGUACCCCCAACCCCUAACUCUUCUCAUGCUGGCUGCAAUAGGCAUCGAGAAAUGGUGCAUGACAGUUCAAAGCCCCAGUUUCCCAAGGCUGUGCAAACCGAGAGGUCGCCGUACGUUUCACCUUCUUCGCCUCCCUGUUAUUUCUUCCUUUCCCGCUUCUGCGUUUCUUUAUUCUCGCUCCUACCUCCGCCAGCACCGCAUCCCCCGUUUCUUUUUCCGUCGUGGACGUUUCGCAAUUCUAUCUCAUUUCAUCUUGCUAAAAGAUUCACACGCUCUUCUUAACUAAAUUCUCUGGAAAUCUUCAUUGAAUCUUCUUACAUCGACUCUUCAUCGACAUUUCGAUCGACCCCCCAUUCGAGCAAGAUCCGCGCUCGCUUCGAAUAACCCAGGAUACACUUUCGUCGGCGAGGUUUCCUUCGAAAUCAUCGCUACAAACGCUCCAAGGGAAAGUGAUCUUCAAGAAUCCUAUUCCCUGACCGUAGUGUCUUCGUUUCGCGAGUGAUAACGUACCGCGAGUGAUGGGAAAGGCACUUCUGACGAAGAUGUGCGUGGAUUCGCCGCGUUCCCCGUGGUCCUCCUAGUUGCAUCGCAGAUCGGAUCCGUUCGCAUUUACAUCCUUGGUUGUGUGGCAUCGAGUUUCAUAAAUAAAGCCCCAUUGAAGAGGAGCUCACAGGGGAUGGAGUAGCAUGACCCGGUGACCCAGAUUUCCCAUGACUUGCGUCAUUCACAAUCUCUCCCCACCAAGGGGUACGGCAACGACACGCAUCUAAAAUAGAGAGGGAAAGAGGAUAAGUGAAAGGGACGGGAUCAGACCGAUUGCGAGCGAGCGGGAAGAUGACAAACAGCGUGGUGCAUUUCCUGCUGAGCAACCUCCGUUUUCGGUUACCACUUUCGGUCUUCUUUCAAGGCCGUGAAGCUGCGUCCGGUCGUCGGAGAACGCGAUCGAUCGAUAUCGACAGUGCGUAUUCGCGAGGAACAGUGUCUCAGUGUCCCCGCGUUCUCGUUUGAUCCAUCGCCAAAGCUGGUAGACUCGUUUGCAACAAUUUCCUUUAACGGUGACGAUAUCGCGAGGUAAUUCCAUCGAGAAUCUCUGCUCGAGAAUUUCUGCUUUUUUCCCUUGGAAUCGACCAUUGUGCGCGGCCAGCCGUAGAAAUCUUCUCAAAGAUCGAAGUCGUUGCACUUCUGCCAAAAUGUCCAAGCACCAUGGCUAUGCUGUUGCCUGGCAACCAUCUUGGGUCAAUGGAAUACGCGUUCAUGGGAGAAACUGGGUCAACCCACGAGAUGUUCUAGGUAUCUCCUUAAGUUCUUCCGCUGAAAAGAUUCGCGAUGCUCCUCGUCCUAGACGCGGUAACCGAGCCUUCAAUUUUUUCCGCGCCGCAUUUUCCCGUCGAACAAUGGCCCCCUGAAUUUGAGAGAAUCGCUCCCUCGCAAGAGCCAUGCAUUUUUCAUUGAUCGUAUCAUGCUCGAAGGUAAAUCGUUAAAAUUUCCACACUUCUAGAUUGUAUCCCUCGAUGUCAAAUUUUCAUUCUAUAGCGCAAAAGUAUCCUUGAAAUACUCGAAGAGAUGUCAGAGCAAGUUCGAAAUCGCUCGAGUAACUUUUGCUUCUAUCGUUGAAGUCUCCCGUCGUUGAAAAUCUUGGACAAGCCGCCCUUGGCUCGCCUUCUACUGACCCGAAUAUCUAUGCAUUAAACGGGGCGCUAUUUUUAGAACCACCCCCGAUGAAUGACCCCGACGAGCGCGGCGCAAAGAAGUUUGGCUCUAAACGCGAGGAAUCGAGAAAUUGGACAUUCUAUUCUUAUCUACUCACAACAAUUUGGGAAAUUAAACUAUUCGCCGCAUAGAGUGACAGUCGAAAAAACAUUCUCGAUCCGUGACACCUGAAAUGCGGUACUAGUUCGUCUUUAAAGCGUGUCAAUUGACCUUUAGAAUGCGCCAAGCACGCUCGUACUAUUUAUAACUUGGAAAUUUCACAUUUCAGUUUGUACACCGUGCUAUUAAUACCUCGCUCGAACCGGUAAUAUGUCAUGAAUUUUUCACGAUUAAAACACGAAGAUUGCUCGCCAUCCCUCGGUCUCUCAUACUUUCCUCGUCCCAGUUUCUCUACAUCGUCAGCCUCCCUCUUCGUGGCUCUGAUCGAAACGAGUUCACUGCCCUGGUAUAGUUUACUUUCUUUACAGUUUUCGUUGACGUCAUAUAAACUAUCUACGUCAUCGACGCGACGCUAUCGACAACAUUGCGGAUCAAAACGACGCUGUAUGUUUUUCUCGAAACACGCUGAACGCGAUUCAUCGAUCUCGCGAGAAAUCGAUACGUGUCCCCGCACGUAGAAUCGUUCGACGAAGUGGCAAGUUAAAAAAUUGAGUAAGUAAUACACGCCUAUGUAUAUCGAAUGUCAUUCUAAAUUGUAUCGAGAAGUAUAUUAAAAGAAAGUUCGAUUCGUCGUUGGGGAAAACUUAGUGUAGGAUAAACGCGAGUUAUCGCAGCGAGUAGCAUAGGGUUAAAGGUAGGAAGGUGAGAAACUGCAGUACCGAGGAAGGUCGAUAAAAGCAUGACACAUCUGUAACCGUGGCGCAAGGGUUGGUAAGGGGAAACAGGUGGUUUGGUGACCAUUGGUAAGGCUGGAAAGAACCACCUGGAAGCAUAGUAGAGAGACUUCGAAGUCUGAUCUGCAAAGGGUUCUGGUAUUCGAAGGGCCAUUGUCGGUGCGCUGCGUGACUUGUCUGACCGAGCACGGAACUCCUCUACUGCGAUUCCAAUGUCCCACAUACGAAUAAAAAUUUUGUUGAAUACUUCGUACCGACUACAAUUAACUGAGAUAGUGUUUCAUCAUGUAGCCUUCUAUUAAUCAUCUCUUUAUAGCAAUUAACUUAACAGAGAUCUAUAAUCGUAGAAAUCAAUGUUUCUAAACUAGGGGUCGUAAUUGUGCCUUUAUGAUUAGAUAAGAAUUCGCCUUAUUUCGUGGCUAUUAUUGUAAUUCACGAUUGUUCAGCAUUAUAGACGAUCAAGGGCAAUAAGAUUCAUCAAGCAAUAUUAUCGAGCACAAAAAUUUUUCUAAUUCCGAUAGUAAUACAUCGAGAUAUGUUAACAUUUUGAUGGUAUAUCCAAACACGCACAGUUUUCUACUAUUACCAUACAUCAAUCGUUUCUUGAUCUACUGCUACUUCAUAUUUAAUCAAACGAUGGACGUAUACAUGUAAGCAAUCGCAAAGCAUUGCUUUCGUUUCGUAAAGAAAACAUUUCAACGUUUGUUGGAACGUAUACCAUUGUACAAGAGUAAUUAACUGUACUCCUUUCUUUAAUUUACAAUCGACUACAGUUAAUUGCUUUUUGACCAACAAUUAGGGAAAGACGUAUACCGGAUAUUUUGAAAUGGAAGUCGUAAAAACGAGCGGAAUCUCGGUUAGAGCCGAAAAAAUUUUAAUUCACAGUAGAACUCCAUUUUUCUACGCCAAUGAGAUUGACAAGGCUUCGCGUGGGGCGGAUGAGAUUAAUCCCGUUUACCUCAAGCAGAUUUAAGGCUUCUUAUGCAACAUCACGCGCGUACAUACGUAUGCACCGACUAUGUUUCUACGUACACCGUUCACCUGUCCUUCUGCAAAAGGGAAAUACAUUUCUUUCGAUCAAAUUAGCGAAAUUGCUGCGAUUAACGUGGAUAACCGUUGUAUUCUCCAUUAGAAUAUUAGAAGAAAUAUACAUUCUAAAAAUGUAAUUCCCUAGCAGUGGUCACGUUAUUUAGAUAAAUUACGAAAUGGAAUAGUGGUAGUAGACUUAUUAAUAGACGCAAUGAUAUAUCACCGUUCAGGCAAUUUUAAUACAUCGAAAUAUCAUCGAAGAGAGAAGUACGACUCAAAUUGUAAAAAUAUGUAGCUCUCGAGACAAGUUAUUAGCUAUCACGAACCUACGCGUUUUAAUGUUCUGAAACUAUGGAUAGCAGAAAGCGGCACAAGCGAAACGUCUUUUCCAAGGGCCUAGGGUUUGAAAUCCCAACUGGCAUCCACCCUUCUGACACGUAACACCAAUCUGACGCUGCGGCGAUCGGUUGUCCACGCACUGUAUCGCGUAACAAAUUCCUCGUACAAUGGCGUCAGUAGCAUUAUUUUUCUACAGACAAAAUAUUGUAUUUCGUUACGUCGUCUAUAGAGAUCUCACCGACCAUCCUCGAAGACGUAAGCUCUCAAAACUUGACUAUAUCGCUACUUCGUCACAUCGGGAAGAAGACGCAGCGAAGGAGGAUGGAUAAUACAUAGGAAAGCCGUCUUAUGUUUCUGUUUUAUUUCAUCGUACAAUUGCGAUAUGAAAUAUGACAUAAACUUAAGGUGGGUACCUAUAUGAUCGACGAACCAACACGAUCGACGUGGGACCGCCACUUUUCACGACGAGAAUUACAAUGGAAGAUCGAAUUCUGUGAGUCAAAAAAACAAGCGGUGUCCAGAAAGGUACUUUCCAAUUUCACGAAUUUAUUUCUAUUUACUAAUUAAUCGCAUUCAAUAUUUCUAAAGGGUUGUCUAAAGGACUCUUUACCAUCGAAAUGCUCACUGAGCACAGACAUUGUUCCAUACAAAUUAUGUAAAAGUCGUUGAUUUAAUCUACUGAAUCGGAAAAUACCUUUACGAACACCCCGUAUGGAACUGCUGACGAAUGACUAAAAGAAUCGUCUCUAAACUUUUUCGUGGACGAGGUAUUACCGUUACGUUUACUCUAGUUAAUCUAAAAUUAAGUUGUAUGCAUUGAACUUGACUGAAUUAGACUUUUCACUUGAGUAUAAAAUACUAUUCAAACGAAGGCUCUAACCACACGAAAUGCUUGCAAAACGGGAGUCUCCUGAUGGGAAGUCUUAAAACGUGUUUUUGUAUAUACAUAACUACACUGCGGAUCUUUAUGCAAAAUAAAAUCUUCGCGAACGAACGUGCCUACAAACAUUGAACCUAUGUAAGAAUUUAUUUUAUUCAGCUAAUAUUAUAACAUGAACUUUACUUUCAAUCUUUUUUAUAUUCUUGCAUAUUGUUUGCAUUUUGUAGUUUCUUGCACAUUCAAAUUUCCUUUAAAUGCAUAAAGAUCCGCAGUCUAUACAUACAACAGAAUGUCUCUUGCAAUAUUCUCGAUUGCAACAUCUUCCUUAUAGGACAGAAAAUUAAAUUAGUUCUAUUUCGUAGCCAUUGAUUUUCGUCUAAUUUUUGUUCGUCGAGCCUCUAAAAUAUUGGCGAGCACUGGGUAAACACCCAGUAUACAGGGUGUCCCGUAACUGGUGGUACAAGCGAGUAGGGAGCGAUUCUACGUAAAAAUUUGAAUCGAACAUGUAGAAUGAAAUUUGUUCACGUGACGGUUUAUUUUCGAAAAAAGAAAUAAGUUUGAAAACUUGUCGAGUACGCGUGUACUUGAACCAGUUUCAGCUCGACGGAUGUCAUUCUAGAUCAUAAGCAUAAGAAAAAUGUAAAAUCAAUGUAAGAGAUAUCAUGUUGACAAUGUUUGUAAACAUCCCAUGAAGCAGUAAGAAAGUAAAAUCCAUCGAACUGAAUCCGAAUCAAGUACACGCGUACUCGACAAAAUUUCAAAGUUACUUCUUUCGAAAAUAAAGCGUCACACGGCAAAAAUUUUAUUCUGCAUUUUCGAUUCAAUUUUUCGCGUAGACUCACCUCCCACUCGCUUGUACCGCCAAUUACGGUACACCUUGUAUAAAUACCGCGAUGGCUUCAAUUAGAGAAAGACAGUUCGUCGAGGUAAUUAGAAUGUGGAAGAAGAAGUUUCCUGGCCGUGGUGGAGGAAAAACGGAACAGCGAGGAAUGACGGAGUCAGUGGAGGAGUCCCAGGUUGGGCCAGGCAGACGUGAAGCCUGAGGAUACGGGGGUGUUAAGCCCUGAAUCCUGAAAAGUGUUCCAGAGCUUACUCGGCUAGUGUUACCCCCCGCCACCUACGUUCUCUUUCUCUGGCUCCUCGUCGCCGUUGUUCGCUCGAGCAGAGGGAACAAUCGGCAGGGGCGUAAGGUUGGCUCUAUGCCUCCUCAUCUUCAUCCGCUUCUCGCAUUCCACCCUUAUUACGAACCGAGCUCCUUCGCUAACGAAACUACCUCCCUCUUCGAAGUCUCAAAUUAUAGGAGAGGGUUGAACCGUGCCAAUCGAUUAUUAAUCGACGUACGAUGAUCGUACGUGGAUCGAUACAUUUCCCUUGGUCAUGUACUCCUGCAACUAUGUGCUAUGCAACUCUUGUAACGAAUUUAUCAAUAGAAGGACGACUCGAUUGCCCGCGUCUUUUACAUCGAAUCUUUCGCGAUCCCCUCGAAUCGUACAGUCCCAAUGAUCGCACCAUUUAUUUUGAGAAGCACUAUGCUAAUCAACGAAAGACGAGUUGAUAAUUAAUAACUACAUCAAGAAACGUUAGAGCUUUCUCUUGGACGCUUUCGCCUAGCACCGAUGUACCUUACCACGCGUCUCCGGCGUUCAACCACUCUCCACGAAAUCUUAGAAAAAUCUUCAGGGCACGUUACUCUCUUACGAUCUACUUACGCUGACAAUGGAACCCAGCUCGAUUCUCGCCCAGCGACUACGUCUCUCGUGUCUUUUAUCACAUGACCUCCUUCGUGGGAAGCCGCAAAAGUUCGGAGACAGUCUGCACUGAUAAUAUCCCCGUUACCC